ACGGGUGAGUAAUACAUCGGAACGUGCCCAAUCGUGGGGGAUAACGCAGCGAAAGCUGUGCUAAUACCGCAUACGAUCUACGGAUGAAAGCAGGGGAUCGCAAGACCUUGCGCGAACGGAGCGGCCGAUGGCAGAUUAGGUAGUUGGUGAGGUAAAGGCUCACCAAGCCUUCGAUCUGUAGCUGGUCUGAGAGGACGACCAGCCACACUGGGACUGAGACACGGCCCAGACUCCUACGGGAGGCAGCAGUGGGGAAUUUUGGACAAUGGGCGAAAGCCUGAUCCAGCCAUGCCGCGUGCAGGAUGAAGGCCUUCGGGUUGUAAACUGCUUUUGUACGGAACGAAACGGUCUUUUCUAAUAAAGAAGGCUAAUGACGGUACCGUAAGAAUAAGCACCGGCUAACUACGUGCCAGCAGCCGCGGUAAUACGUAGGGUGCAAGCGUCAAUCGGAAUUACUGGGCGUAAAGCGUGCGCAGGCGGUGAUGUAAGACAGUUGUGAAAUCCCCGGGCUCAACCUGGGAACUGCAUCUGUGACUGCGUCGCUGGAGUACGGCAGAGGGGGAUGGAAUUCCGCGUGUAGCAGUG
rnacentral:rRNA from 1 species